GGAAGUAUGGCUCAAAUGGCAGAGAGUUUGCUUAGCAAGCAUGAGGCUCUGAGUUCAAACUCAGGUGCUUCAA
rnacentral:tRNA from 1 species